UUUAAAGAGAGUUUGAUCCUGGCUCAGGACGAACGCUGGCGGCGUGCCUAAUACAUGCAAGUCGAACGAACGGAGGAAGAGCUUGCUCUUCCAAAGUUAGUGGCGGACGGGUGAGUAACACGUGGGCAACCUGCCUGUAAGUUGGGGAUAACUCCGGGAAACCGGGGCUAAUACCGAAUGAUAAGCAGUGACGCAUGUCACUGCUUUGAAAGAUGGUUUCGGCUAUCGCUUACAGAUGGGCCCGCGGUGCAUUAGCUAGUUGGUAGGGUAAAGGCCUACCAAGGCAACGAUGCAUAGCCGACCUGAGAGGGUGAUCGGCCACACUGGGACUGAGACACGGCCCAGACUCCUACGGGAGGCAGCAGUAGGGAAUCUUCCGCAAUGGACGAAAGUCUGACGGAGCAACGCCGCGUGUAUGAAGAAGGUUUUCGGAUCGUAAAGUACUGUUGUUAGAGAAGAAUAAGGAUAAGAGUAACUGCUUGUCCCUUGACGGUAUCUAACCAGAAAGCCACGGCUAACUACGUGCCAGCAGCCGCGG
rnacentral:rRNA from 1 species